UGGGGAAUAUUGCACAAUGGGCGAAAGCCUGAUGCAGCAACGCCGCGUGAGUGAUGAAGGCCUUCGGGUUGUAAAGCUCUGUCUUUUGGGACGAUAAUGACGGUACCAAAGGAGGAAGCCACGACUAACUACGUGCCAGCAGCCGCGGUAAUACGUAGGUGGCAAGCGUUGUCCGGAUUUACUGGGCGUAAAGGAUGCGUAGGCGGAUUUUUAAGUGAGAUGUGAAAUACCCGGGCUUAACUUGGGUGCUGCAUUUCAAACUGGGAAUCUAGAGUGCGGGAGAGGAGAAUGGAAUUCCUAGUGUAGCGGUGAAAUGCGUAGAGAUUAGGAAGAACACCAGUGGCGAAGGCGAUUCUCUGGACCGUAACUGACGCUGAGGCAUGAAAGCGUGGGUAGCAAACAGGAUUAGAUACCCUGGUAGUCCACGCCGUAAACGAUGAGUACUAGGUGUAGGAGGUAUCGACCCCUUCUGUGCCGCAGUUAACACAAUCAAGUACUCCGCCUGGGAAGUACGAUCGCAAGAUUAAAA
rnacentral:rRNA from 1 species